UAGGGGCGGGCCAAGCGAAACAAAGUUAAGCGACGCCUGGAGAGCGUAACCCAGCUUUACUAACGUCUUCGCCCAGCCCAAUUCCUCCUCUCCCGCCUGCUCAUUGGAUCGACCAAUGUUCACGUCGGCGUAUUCUCCCACAGGCCAGCAUUGUGGAGGCGGGGAGAGAGGAGACUCCACGCUCUUGAUUGGUCGGACUGCGAGCUGUCGAUCAUUUGCUUUACGGAGUCCCCGCCCAUCGCCAGGUUAGGUUGACGAGGUGAAACACGUUGCGUCAUCCCCGAAUCCAUUGAAAAGAAGACAGACUUGAAGACAAUCUAGCAGAAUACCAGUAGUCUUCUUCAUACAAAGAUGAGCAGAAGCUUGACUAACAUGAAAAUUUUCACCCGAGACUGGAAAUAUUCUGUGGUUAAAACAAAAUUAAUUCCCAUCAACUGGAACCAGGCAUCAAUCAAGUCCUGUCUGUAGUGCCCAAUACUGCUGAGCUUUGUCCUGCACAGGGAGAGUUUUCACCUCCUCAACGUCCUCAUCUUUAGAAGACGGCUCUCAUCCCCCCUGUUAUUCAGCAUGAAGCACAUUGCUUCACUGCAGAGUUAUGCCAGCUCCUGGGGUAGCAGGCCAACACUUCCAGGGUGAGGUAUUGGUGACCACAGAUUAUCUGGUCAUUACUGGAAUGGAAUCCCUUCCUGUUGAUGAAUUCUGCAGCACCUGAGGAAAUCAACAAUGUUUCUGAAUCUUACUGCCCAGGCUGCAGUAUUGACUUUGUCACUUGGGAAAAAAAUUAACCAGUAUGAUCUUGCACAGACGGCAUUGUGAUGGCAGGAAACACAGUAUGUAAUAGACAAUGGCAGUACCUGGUUUCACCUGGUUACAAGGUACCACACCCCCUCUCUUCUGCAAGCAUCCAUGUCCUGGUUUAUUUGGACUAACCUGACAGCCCAUUUCAACUCAUCUAUAUCCAUGUGGAGACUCACCACAUUGAACUUUGCCCCCGAUACAUGACCUUAUGCCUUACUGAUGCUCACUGUGAUCCUAUAUGCUUCCUCUGUGGCAAAACCCCCUCUCUCCCUUGUACCUUGACAUUCCAACCAUCAUUGCCUAUUCUUCACCUCAAUACAUGCCUCUCUGUUUUUCCCUUGCCCAGCCUGAUGCCUCACCCAUGUUUGCCAAUGAGUCCCCCUUUGCCCCUACAGUCACCCCUUUGCACCCUGCUCCCAUAAAUGGAUGGAUCCCCUGGUCUGUAUAUGCCUAAAACCUCUGACUAAUUUCAAUGAACUGCCUUUAGACAUGACUGACCGGAUCCCUGAUCACUAUCUUUGCAGCUCCCUGACUGAUGAUAUGCAAUUCCCCUGACUACUUGGGAUAGUCCUACAGAAUUGACUGUUCCCUACUCUCUGGAGUGUAGCUGAACAAUAGUAAGUAACAUUUGUGCCACACAAAUGCCAGGCAGUGACCCACUCCAAGAACAGGAAAACUAACCAUUGCCCUUGAUAAUCUAUGGUAUUACCAUCUCUCAAUCCCACCUCUAUUAUCAUCGUGAGGAUUAAUAUUAACGAGAAAGAAACUGAACUGAACUAGCCAUAUAAAUACUGUUGCUACAAGAGCAGGUAGGAGGCUAGGAAUCCUGCAGCAUGUAUCUCAUCUCCUGACACCCCAA